rnacentral:sRNA from 1 species
GCAAGGCAUGGAGGUGCAUGCCUGUAAUCCUAGUCACUUGGGAGGCUGAGGCAGGAGGAUUACAAAUUUCAGGCCAGCUUUGGAAACUGAGCGAGACCCCCAGCAUUUUAGUACGAGACCCUGUCUUAC